UACAGAGACUGCAAGCGUUAUUCGGAUUCACUGGGCGUAAAGGGUGCGCAGGCGGCCGAGUGUGUGAGGCGUGAAAGCCCGGGGCUUAACCCCGGAAUUGCACCUCAAACUACACGGCUAGAGCAUUGGAGAGGGUAGCAGAAUUCAUGGUGUAGCAGUGAAAUGCGUAGAUAUCAUGAGGAAUACCAGAGGCGAAGGCGGCUACCUGGACAAUUGCUGACGCUCAGGCACGAAAGCGUGGGGAGCAACAGGG
rnacentral:rRNA from 1 species